UAAGGAAGGGGAGGGAGAUUAGUUCGUGUUGGAAGUUUGGAAAGGGGGGGAAUAGAGGGAGAAAAGAGCUGACUCUUAAAGCACUAUCAUCGUUUCCUUUAUUAUCAGCCAGUGAACCCUGCUUGAAAUGUCACUGUAACAUCUCAAGACAUUCUCCAACUGGGGCUUACACAAUCAUCCACAUUUGGUGUACCCAAGAGUAUACGUACCUCCUUGAUCAGUUCGGGGUCCUCCAGCCUCCCCAGCUUGGCCGCCGCCGCCGCCGCCACCAACGCCAGCAAGAUGAGGACCUGGGGGAGGGAAGGAGGCGAGCGUGAGGCUUAGCAAGGGAGGCAACUCAAGGGCAAAAACAAGGACAACCACCACCACCACCACCACAACAACAACAACAACAACAACAGCAACAACAACAACAAAAGUCCGCUACUAGACGCUGCUCCGAACGAAAGUAGAAAGAACGAGAAGCCAAAAGAGAGGUCAAUUUCGGGAGAAGGGGAGUCUUGAGAGUAGAAAGUUAAGUAUAGCAAAGCAGUUAAUGAAAGACGAAAUAGUAUACAGGAACUAACAACCUUGCCUAAUGGACCUCCCUUUCUUUCGGCAGGACGCAAGCAUGACCCGUGUAAGAAGUGUCUGUCCAUUCAUUGCUAAGAAGACACGAGACGAGGAGGAAAUAUAAAGUGAAGCGAGUGAAGUGUUUCCAGCCAGAUAAAGAAAGAAAAGAAAAACGAGUGAUGUGUUAUUGAUAGAAAACUUAUAUAACGUGAGGGAAUAAGAACAAAUAAAAAAUAGAAAAAUCCCGCCGCAGUAAAGAGUUCCCAGUCAGACAGCGAAAGAGCGUGUGAGUGGAAAAAGAAUGGAAGUGAAAAAGAACAAAUAAAAUAAAAGCAAAGAAAAGAGAAAAACAAAUUAACGAAACAAAAUAAACAAAUAAAAAAAACUGAAGGAAGCAAAACAACAAUUAACAUAUAAGAAAACAAAUAAAUAAAUAAAGAGAAAACAAUAAUUAAGAAAUAAAUAAAGCAAACAAAACAGAAACAAAUAAAAGAAAAGAAAGCGUAACGAGUGUGAAAAAGGACAAAUAAAAUAUAAAAACAACAACUGUCGUAAUAGUGAACCGCUGAACCAUGAAAAAAAGUGAAAAUUUAAAGUUCGAAGUGUAAAAUAACUCAGUCCUCAUCGCCACGCCUUCAAGAGCAAAUUAAAUAGAGGAAAAUUUGGUACCCUAGUGAUGAAAACAAUAACAAUUGAAAAAAGAAAGUGUGCCUGAACUAGAGUGACAAUCAGGGGCUCAUCGCCACGACUCACUGUAAGAAUGAAGAAAAAAGAAACUCAGACCACCUCGUACACUGCUUGGGAACGUGGAGUCUGUAGCCCAAACAUAACAGACACACAUACGGUAAGAGAGAGAGAGAGAGAGAGAGAGAGAGAGAGAGAGAGAGAGAGAGAGAGAGAGAGAGAGAGAGAGAGAGAGAGAGAGAGAGAGAG